rnacentral:rRNA from 1 species
AGCGAACGCUGGCGGCAGGCCUAACACAUGCAAGUCGAACGAACCUUUCGGGGUUAGUGGCGGACGGGUGAGUAACACGUGGGAACGUGCCUUUAGGUUCGGAAUAACUCAGGGAAACUUGUGCUAAUACCGAAUGUGCCCUUCGGGGGAAAGAUUAAUCGCCUUUAGAGCGGCCCGCGUCUGAUUAGCUAGUUGGUUGAUGUAAUGGCUCACCAAGGCGACGAUCAGUAGCUGGUCUGAGAGGAUGAUCAGCCACAUUGGGACUGAGACACGGCCCAAACUCCUACGGGAGGCAGCAGUGGGGAAUCUUGCGCAAUGGGCGAAAGCCUGACGCAGCCAUGCCGCGUGAAUGAUGAAGGUCUUAGGAUUGUAAAAUUCUUUCACCGGGGACGAUAAUGACGGUACCCGGAGAAGAAGCCCCGGCUAACUUCGUG